rnacentral:rRNA from 1 species
AUGAACGCUAGCUACAGGCUUAACACAUGCAAGUCGAGAGGCAGCAUUGGGAUAGCUUGCUAUCCAGAUGGCGACCGGCGCACGGGUGAGUAACGCGUAUCCAACCUUCCCUAUAGUAGAGAAUAGCCCGGCGAAAGUCGGAUUAAUGCUCUAUGUUGUGUUUUGAGGACAUCUGACGAACACCAAAGGUUCACCGCUAUAGGAUGGGGAUGCGUCUGAUUAGCUUGUUGGCGGGGUAACGGCCCACCAAGGCGACGAUCAGUAGGGGUUCUGAGAGGAAGGUCCCCCACAUUGGUACUGAGACACGGACCAAACUCCUACGGGAGGCAGCAGUGAGGAAUAUUGGUCAAUGGGCGAGAGCCUGAACCAGCCAAGUAGCGUGCAGGGAACCGACUGCCCUAUGGGUUGUAAACUGCUUUUAUCAGGGAAUAAAGUGCGGCACGUGUGCCGUUUUGUAUGUACCUGAUGAAUAAGGACCGGCUAAUUCCGUGCCAGCCGCAGC